rnacentral:rRNA from 1 species
AGAGUUUGAUCCUAGCUCAGGAUGAACGCUGGCGGCGUGGAUAAGGCAUGCAAGUCAAACGGACACUUAUGCGAUUACAUCAAGUAUGUGUUAGUGGCAAACGAGGUAGUAACACGUAGGAACUUCCCCCCGAGUCAGGAAUAACGAGCCGAAAGGUUCGCUAAUACCUGAUGGUCUCUUAGGAGUAAAGUCGCAAGACGCUUGGGAAAAGGCCUGCGGAGUAUCAGCUAGUUGGUAGUGUAAUGGACUACCAAGGCUAUGACGCUUAGAGGAGCUGAGAGGCUGACCCUCACCGAUGGAACUGAGACACGGUCCAUACACCUACGGGUGGCCGCAGUCGAGAAUCUUCCGCAAUGGACGAAAGUCUGACGGAGCGACGCCGCGUGAUGGAUGAAGUCCCUAUGGGACGUAAACAUCUUUUAUGAAGGAGAAAGUUUUGAUAGUACUUCAAGAAUAAGGGGUUGCUAAACUCGUGCCAGCAGCAGCGGUAAUACGAGUGCCCCAAGCGUUAUCCGGAAUCAUUGGGCGUAAAGGGUGUGUAGGUGGUCUAGUUAGUCUUCUGUUAAAUUCUUCGGCUUAACCGGGGUCCUGCAGGGGAAACGGCUAGACUAGAGUGUGCAAGGGGUGAAUGGAACUCAUGGAGUAGGGGUGAAAUCCGUUGAUAUCAUGGGGAACACCAAAAGCGAAGGCAAUUCACUGGUGCAUUACUGACACUGAAACACGAAAGCGUGGGUAGCGAACUGGAUUAGAUACCCAGGUAGUCCACGCCCUAAACGUUCUCAACUAGCUUUGGGGGGAAUCGAACCCUUCCGAGGCGAAGCUAACGCGUUAAGUUGAGCGCCUGGGUAGUACGGCCGCAAGGCUAAAACUCAAAGGAAUAGACGGGGACUUGCACAAGCAGUGGAUUAUGCGGUUUAAUUCGAUGACAAACGAAAAACCUUACCAAGGUUAGAAAUCUAUGUGAAGACGAGCAGAAACGUUCGUCGUCCGCAAGGACUCAUAGACAGGUGUUGCAUGGCCGUCGUCAGUUCGUGAUUUGAAUUGUUCCCUUAAGUGGGGUAACGAACGCAACCCUCGUUGCCAGUUAUAUAUGUCUGGCGAGACUGCCCCCGUUCAAGCGCACGAAGUGCGCGGUAGUAAGUAGUAAGUAGUAAGUAGUAAGGAAUUUCCAUACUGCCUAAUGCCUACUGCCUACUUCUGCAAAUUCGCUUCGCGAAUUUGAACGGGGGAGGAAGGCGAGGAUGACGCCAGGUCAGCAUGACCCUCUGAUACCUUGGGCCACACGCAUAAUACAAUCGCCUCUACAACGGGUCGCGACGGAGUAAUCCUGAGCUAAUCCUAAGAAAAGAGGCGUCAGUUCGGAUUGGGGGCUGAAACUCGACCCCAUGAAGUUGGAAUUGCUAGUAAUCGCGGGUCAGCUAUACCGCGGUGAAUACGUUCUCAAGUCUUGUACUCACCGCCCGUCAACUCAAGGGA